CUGGGGACGCGAGUGGCGGACGGGUGAGUAACACGUAGGCAACCUGCCCAAGAGCGGGGGAUAACAUUUGGAAACAAGUGCUAAUACCGCAUAAGAUUGAUGACCACAUGGUCAUCAAUUUAAAGAUGGCUUCGGCCAUCACUCUUGGAUGGGCCUGCGGUGCAUUAGCUAGUUGGUAAGGUAACGGCUUACCAAGGCAAUGAUGCAUAGCCGAGUUGAGAGACUGAACGGCCACAUUGGGACUGAGACACGGCCCAAACUCC
rnacentral:rRNA from 1 species